rnacentral:rRNA from 1 species
ACCAGCACCACAUCAACCUGCAGUUCUCACCUGGUUUCCCAGUGAAGCUAAGCAGGGUUGAGCCUGGCCAGUACCUGGAUGGGAAACCUCCUGGGGAAAACUAAGAUUGCUGCUA